UACAGAGGGUGCAAGCGUUAAUCGGAAUUACUGGGCGUAAAGCGCACGUAGGCGGAUUUGUUAGUCAGGGGUGAAAUCCCGGGGCUCAACCUCGGAACUGCCUUUGAUACUGCCGUGACUAGAGGUCGGUAGGGGAGUGUGGAAUUCCUGGUGGAGCGGUGAAAUGCGCAGAUAUCAGGAGGAACACCCGUAGCGAAGGCGACCACCUGGACUGAUACUGACACUGAGGUGCGAAAGCGUGGGGAGCAAACAGG
rnacentral:rRNA from 1 species